rnacentral:rRNA from 1 species
UACGAAGGGGGCUAGCGUUGCUCGGAAUCACUGGGCGUAAAGCGCACGUAGGCGGAUCUUUAAGUCAGGGGUGAAAUCCUGGAGCUCAACUCCAGAACUGCCUUCGAUACUGAGAGUCUCGAGUCCGGGAGAGGUGAGUGGAACUGCGAGUGUAGAGGUGAAAUUCGUAGAUAUUCGCAAGAACACCAGUGGCGAAGGCGGCUCACUGGCCCGGUACUGACGCUGAGGCGCGAAAGCGUGGGGAGCGAACAGG